rnacentral:rRNA from 1 species
UACGUAGGGGGGCUAGCGUUGUCCGGAAUCAUUUGGGCGUAAAGCGCGUGUAGGCGGUUUCGGUAAGUCCGCUGUGAAAGUCGGGGGGCUCAACCCUCGAAUGCCGGUGGAUACUGUCGGGCUAGAGUGCGGAAGAGGCGAGUGGAAUUCCUGGUGUAGCGGUGAAAUGCGCAGAUAUCAGGAGGAACACCUAUUGCGAAGGCAGCUCGCUGGGACGUUACUGACGCUGAGACGCGAAAAGCGUGGGGGAGCAAACAGG